CCGACCUUAGCUCAGUUGGUAGAGCGGAGGACUGUAGAUCCUUAGGUCGCUGGUUCGAAUCCGGCAGGUCGGACCA
rnacentral:tRNA from 2 species